rnacentral:rRNA from 1 species
GAUGAACGCUGGCGGCGUGCCUAAUACAUGCAAGUCGAGCGAACAGACGAGGAGCUUGCUCCUCUGACGUUAGCGGCGGACGGGUGAGUAACACGUGGAUAACCUACCUAUAAGACUGGGAUAACUUCGGGAAACCGGAGCUAAUACCGGAUAAUAUAUUGAACCGCAUGGUUCAAUAGUGAAAGACGGUUUUGCUGUCACUUAUAGAUGGAUCCGCGCCGCAUUAGCUAGUUGGUAAGGUAACGGCUUACCAAGGCAACGAUGCGUAGCCGACCUGAGAGGGUGAUCGGCCACACUGGAGCUGAGACACGGUCCAGAAUCCUACGGGAGGCAGCAGUAGGGAAUCUUCCGCAAUGGGCGAAAGCCUGACGGAGCAACGCCGCGUGAGUGAUGAAGGGCUUCGGAUCGUAAAACUCUGUUAUUAGGGAAGAACAAAUGUGUAAGUAACUAUGCACGUCUUGACGGUACCUAAGCAGAAAGCCACGGCUAACUACGU